AAAGAUCAUAGUUUUGAACUGUUUAUGUCCAACGUUUAACGUUUGUUUUAUUUGAAAUUUUUUUAUGAUUAAUAUUUUUUAUUAUUAUUAGAUGAUAAAACAUGAGUAGUACUUAGGUGUGACUAAUUUUUUUAUAAAUUUUUUAAAUAAGACGGAUGGUCAAACGUUGGACACGAAAAUCCACAACUGUACUUAAA
rfam:Oryza sativa Japonica Group DNA, chromosome 12, cultivar: Nipponbare, complete sequence.